GCAACAGUUUAGUAUUUAAUGUAACAGUGAGAUUCUAUAUUGAAUAAUAUCAUGAAGCUGGUAUUAUUAUUUGUCUUCAUUUUAUUUAUAGAAAUUAUCAGUGCUGGGACUAUUGAUUGCCCACCAAAUUCAAAUUGGAAGGAUAUAGGAGGAUCCAACUGCUACUCUCCUGUCCCUACAUGUCAAAAUCCAAACCCAGAAUAUGUAUAUAAUCCGAAUGGAUGUUUGGAGAAUUUGAUAAGAGCCUGUUGGUGUGAUGAAGGAUACUUAAUGAAUGAUAACAAAUGCGUACUCAAAGAAAACUGUCCUCAGAAAUAAAUUACGAUGCUAAUUCAUUGUUUUUUGUAUAAGUGUAUUCAUUGACUUCAAUAAAUAAUAUAGUUUCUAA